UGUAGGAACAGUUGAAUUUUGGCU
rnacentral:miRNA from 1 species